UGUGAGAGUCAGUUCCUGUCAGGACAAUAAUUGUUACAUCACAGAAGAAGCUAGGGCUCUCCUAGUUACAACAGAUUUUUCAUGGAGGUCCUAUUUAUGAUGUCACUGAGAACUGCCAUCUCCUACCUGCUAAACAGCUUUCCUUACAUUUACCAGAUUCGAGGGUGUCCUUUCCAGGAAUAAAGAAAAGGACUGUUUACUGCACGAUCUCUUGAUAUCACGGAACAAUUCUUCCAACACUACAAAGUGAAAUCUCAUAAAGAAAUGGGUACCCGAAGCCACAGUUUCUUACCUUCUAUUUGGUUGUGCACACUGUGACCACCAUUUCAUUUUAACCAGGUUUAACGCAAAGCUUCUUUGAAGAUGUUCCCAUUUCCACCAACUCACUUCAACCUCAAUGCCCUGGCAUUACCCUACACUGGGGAAACAAGUCUUCACUGGAUUAAAGGAUUUUAAUUCCAAUCAUGCUGGACAGUGCAUUUCUCUGCCACACAUGUGGCUGGAAUCAUUGGUUCCUCAAACUGUACUCACUAGUGGGUUGUUUAAUCCCCCUAAUUUCUGGUGGGGUCUUGUUGGUUGAUAUUGUUGUUCUUCCUGGGGUUUUGCAAAUCCCUUCAGCUCAUUAAGUAUUUUCUCUAAAACUUCCAUUGAAACCCCCAUGUUUAAUCCAAUGGUUAGCUGCAACCAUCCUCAUUUAUAUCAGUAGGGAUCUGUCAGAGCCUCUCAGGAGACAUCCAUAUCUGAUUUCUAUCAGCAAGGAUUUGUUGGCAUGAGCAAUGAAGUCUGAAUUGGGUGGCGGCAUAGUGGAUGGAUCCCCACGUGGGGCAGUCUCUGGUUGACCCUUUCUUCAGUCCCUGCUUGACUCUUUAUCAUUGUAUUUCCUUCCAUGAAUAUUUUGUUCCUUCUUCUUAGAAACAAUGUAGCAUCCACAUUUUGGUCUUCUUUUAGUUUGGGCUUCAUAUGACCUGUGGAUUCUUUCUUAUGAAUUCCACACUUUUGGGUUGAUACACACUUCCAAUUAGUUUAUAUUAUUUGUGUUAUUACCUCACACAGAAUGAUAAUUUCUAAUUCCAUCCUAAGAAUUUUAUGCAAACAUUGUUUUUGAUAGCUUAGGAUACAGGGUGUAAAUAUACCACAUUUCCUUUAUCCAUUUCUUUGUUGAGGGACAUCUGGGUUCUUUUCAGCU